rfam:Burkholderia graminis C4D1M ctg12, whole genome shotgun sequence.
CAAGUCCACUGCGAUGAAGGAAUAGCGAACCACAUCGGCCCCGAGCCGUGCGCAGGCAUCCGCGAGGAUGUCGGCGAAGCGUCGGCAGGGGUACGUACAGGCCAGCCAUUGAGCCACGAUAGAAAAACUGAUUCCGGGUGCCGACGCUGUCUGUGUAGCGGAAGGCAAAACGUCUGAGCGCGCAAUCGCGAGCGCCCGGAUGACCCGGCGUGGUCGUAGAACC